rnacentral:rRNA from 1 species
UUAGGAAUAUUGGACAAUGGGCGCAAGCCUGAUCCAGCCAUGCCGCGUGAGUGAUGAAGGCCUUCGGGUUGUAAAGCUCUUUAGCCGAUGAUUAUAAUGACUGUAGUCGGAAAAUAAGCCCCGGCUAACUUCGUGCCAGCAGCCGCGGUAAUACGAAGGGGGCGAGCGUUAUUCGGAAUCACUGGGCGUAAAGCGUGCGUAGGCUGUUUCACAAGUUGGAAGUGAAAGCCCAGGGCUCAACCCUGGAAUUGCUUUCAAAACUGUGAGACUCGAGUCCGGGAGAGGAUAGCGGAAUUUCCAGUGUAGUAGUGAAAUACGUAGAUAUUGGAAGGAACACCAGUGGCGCAAGCGGCUAUCUGGACCGGUACUGACGCUGAGGCACGAAAGCGUGGGGAUCAAACAGGAUUAGAUACCCGGGUAGUCC